AGCGAACGCUGGCGGCAGGCCUAACACAUGCAAGUCGAACGAAGUCUUCGGACUUAGUGGCGGACGGGUGAGUAACACGUGGGAACGUGCCCUUUGGUACGGAAUAACUCAGGGAAACUUGAGCUAAUACCGUAUGUGCCCUUCGGGGGAAAGAUUUAUCGCCAUUGGAGCGGCCCGCGUUUGAUUAGCUAGUUGGUGAGGUAAAGGCUCACCAAGGCGACGAUCAGUAGCUGGUCUGAGAGGAUGAUCAGCCACAUUGGGACUGAGACACGGCCCAAACUCCUACGGGAGGCAGCAGUGGGGAAUCUUGCGCAAUGGGCGAAGGCCUGGCGCAGCCAUGCCGCGUGAAUGAUGAAGGUCUUAGGAUUGUAAAAUUCUUUCACCGGGGACGAUAAUGACGGUACCCGGACAAGAAGCCCCGGCUAACUUCGUGCCAGCCGCCGCGGUAAGAC
rnacentral:rRNA from 1 species